CCCUAUUAUGUUAUUAGUUAUAAAUUAGUAUAAAUUGAAAUUUAAUAAUUUUGGCGGUUAGUUAAUUGGUUAGAGGAGCUUGUCUUUUAUAGAAAUAACUCUUUAUAUUUUAAUAAUAAUUAAUUUUAUUCAUCUCCGUUAAAAUUUAUAGUUAUAAUAAUUUAUUUUAGGAUUUCAGGUCAAGAUGUAAUAUUUAUUAAAUUGGAUUAGCUACAGUCAUGAACUGUUAAGUAAUAUUAGUUUUGAAGGUUAAUAGAAUUUUAAUUUAAUUGUAAUAAUAAUUAGAAAGUUAUUAUGAAAGUUGUUUAAUUAAUGUA
rnacentral:rRNA from 1 species